rfam:Dipodomys ordii contig_793, whole genome shotgun sequence.
GGGAAGGUGGCUCAGUGGUAGAGUGCUUGCCUUGCAUGAGGCCCUGGGUUCGAUUCCUCAGCACUCACA